rnacentral:lncRNA from 1 species
GUGUCAAUAGGGGUCAAUAUGAGUCAAUAGGGGUCAAUAGGAGUCAAUAGGGGUCAAUAGGGGUCAAUAGGGGUCAACAUAAUUCAAUUGGGGUCAACAUGAGUCAAUAUGAGUCAAUAGGGGUCAACAUGAGUCAAUAGGGGUCAACUGAGUCAAUAGGGGUCAAUUGGGGUCAACAUGAGUCAAUAGGGGUCAAUUAGAGUCAAUAGGGGUCAACAUGAGUCAAUAGGGGUCAAUAGCGGUCAAUUGGGGUCAACAUGAGUCAAUAGGGGUCAACAUGAGUCAAUAGGGGUCAAUAGGGGUCAAUUGGGGUCAACAUGAGUCAAUAGGGGUCAAUAUGAGUCAAUAGGGGUCAACAUGAGUCAAUAGGGGUCAAUAGGGGUCAAUUGGGGUCAACAUGAGUCAAUAGGGGUUAAUAUGAGUCAAUAGGGGUCAACAUGAGUCAAUAGGGGUCAAUUGGGGUCAACAUGAGUCAAUAGGAGUCAAUAGGGGUCAAUAUGAGUCAAUAGGGGUCAAUAGAGGUCAAUAGGGGUCAAUAGAGGUCAACAGGAGUCAAUAGAGGUCAAUAGAGGUCAAUAGAGGUCAAUAGGGGUCAACAGGAGUCAAUAGAGGUCAAUAGAGGUCAAUAGGGGUCAAUAGGGGUCAAUAGAGGUCAAUAGGGGUCAAUAGGGG